rnacentral:rRNA from 1 species
AGUUUGAUCCUGGCUCAGAUUGAACGCUGGCGGCAUGCUUUACACAUGCAAGUCGAACGGCAGCGGGGGCUUCGGCCUGCCGGCGAGUGGCGAACGGGUGAGUAAUGCAUCGGAACGUGCCCAUGUCGUGGGGGAUAACUACGCGAAAGCGUAGCUAAUACCGCAUACGCCCCGAGGGGGAAAGCGGGGGACUCUUCGGAGCCUCUCGCGAUUGGAGCGGCCGAUGCCGGAUUAGCUAGUUGGUGAGGUAAAGGCUCACCAAGGCGACGAUCCGUAGCGGGUCUGAGAGGAUGAUCCGCCACACUGGGACUGAGACACGGCCCAGACUCCUACGGCAGGCAUCAGUGGGGAAUUUUGGACAAUGGGGGGAACCCUGAUCCAGCCAUGCCGCGUGAGUGAAGAAGGCCUUCGGGUUGUAAAGCUCUUUCGGCCGGGAAGAAAUCGCGCACUCUAACAUAGUGUGUGGAUGACGGUACCGGACUAAGAAGCACCGGCUAACUACGUGCCAGCAGCCGCGGUAAUACGUAGGGUGCGAGCGUUAAUCGGAAUUACUGGGCGU